AUGAUUAGAAUACUAUAUAAAACCUGUACAAAAACAAAGAUACGGAGACUUGCUUCACAUUUGGAAUUACACAAAAAAGAUUUUUCAUCGCAAAGAGGUCUACGAAGACUUUUGGGAAAACGUCGACGUUUGCUGGCUUAUUUGGCAAAGAAAAAUAGAGUACGUUAUAAGAAAUUAAUCGGUCAGUUGAAUACAUAA
rnacentral:rRNA from 1 species